UGCUGUGUUCCUGGGAAACCCAAGCAACCAGAAGUUCAUCCAAUUAUUUAUUUGCUUCGAGUCAUCCGGAUGUAAAAGUAUGCAGCUAUCAUAUACUGGUGAAGACUCCUUCCAUGUAAACAUCCACAUACUCUGGGGAAACCUGCUGCCAAAGUAGGAGGAUUCCAAAGGACCUAGAGGAAGAAAAAGCUACAAUAUGGAAGACACCUGAGUUUCUGAAGGACUGUGUGGAGCACUUCCUUCUGCUGAUGAACAUGUGCUAUGAAAAAUAAACUUAUUUUGUUUAGCAACUAA
rnacentral:lncRNA from 10 species